AUUGAACGCUGGCGGCAUGCUUUACACAUGCAAGUCGAACGGCAGCAUGGGCUUCGGCCUGAUGGCGAGUGGCGAACGGGUGAGUAAUGCAUCGGAACGUGCCGUGUAAUGGGGGAUAACAUAGCGAAAGUUGUGCUAAUACCGCAUACGUCCUACGGGAGAAAGCAGGGGAUCUUCGGACCUUGCGUUAUACGAGCGGCCGAUGUCCGAUUAGCUAGUUGGUGUGGUAAAGGCUCACCAAGGCGACGAUCGGUAGCGAGGCUGAGAGGACGAGCCGCCACACUGAAACUGAGACACGGUCCAGACUCCUACGGGAGGCAGCAGUGGGGAAUUUUGGACAAUGGGCGAAAGCCUGAUCCAGCAAUGCCGCGUGAGUGAAGAAGGCCCUUGGGUUGUAAAGCUCUUUCGUUUGGGAAGAAGGAAGUGUGGCUAAUAUCCACGCUGACAGACGGUACCAAAAUAAGAAGCACCGGCUAACUACGUGCCAGCCGCCGCGGUAA
rnacentral:rRNA from 1 species